GGAUAGGCACUGGAGAGUUUGACUUGCGAUAUUUGAGUACAUCCCAUUGCUGGCGCUCCGAGUAUCUGGUAUCUUGUUCUAUUGUUGCUACCCUGAUUCUUCAUCACCUAUGACCGUGAUAGUGCUUACCCUAUUGAGUGCCUAACUCAGUUUAGUGCAUAAGCGUGCUCUUUUGAUAUAUAGUUUAUGACUUUGCCAUCAGCUGUUUUGAUGUAUUCCUAUGCUUACAAAUUCUAUAAUGUUAACUGUAUAUGUUUCCUUACAUCUUAAUUCAUCGUGUUUCCCAUUGCACGGUUUAUUCCCUACAUUUCCCUGUCCUACAUUUGGUACUUGAUUACUUGUUAGAAGGUGCAAAUCAGCUCCUCAAUUGCUGUGAGAUCAAUACAAUUUAAUCAUUAAUGAUUAUUUUUUGUUACACAUUAUCUUUUAUUACAAAUUAACUCGAGUCCACUGAUCUGAGCUGAAAAGCUUAAGAGUCCUCUCUGGGUAUGCUUAAGUGUUAGUAGUACCGGUUUCCUGAAAAAAAAGAGGGGCUAAUAAUUUCAAGCUCUUUUCAUAUAGUUCUAUAAUUAUGUGCCGUUGUGAACGUCGCCUUCUUCAUUUCCUACCUGUGCGAUCCCCUUUUAAUUGAGUUUUCACAGUUGCCGGUAUAUUUUUUGUCGCAUCAACCUUAAGAACUCCAUGUAUUAAGGUUGUAGGAUAUUAUUGUUGGAUUAGGUGAACUAUAAUCAAAACAAAAAAAAUAUCCAGAUACUCUCAUAAUUAUGUGAAUAUUUUUUCUCAAAUCAAGUAGGAGAACUGCUUGUCAUUUCAUUGAGAGGAAGAAAAUUAAGUACAUCUAAAGGAAAGGAUCCUCAAAUACUAGAAGAAAAUAAGUACAUCUAGAAGACAUUAUUAGUUGUAGGGAUACACGCCUGAGGACAACAAUCAAAAGCCCUAUGCCGCCAUCCUCAAGGUCUAUGAUCAUAUCAGGGACCAAACGUUGCCGAAUAAACUGCUGAUAUGUUUAGUUUCAUGAAAUUUUAAUUUUACUUGAUUCAUUUGUAGGAUUGAAUAGAUUUCGCUGAACUUGAAGGGUUGGUUACUAUUGGUGUUCUUUUACCAUGAAAUAUGAGAUCAGGCUAGGUUUUGGCUGUAGCAUUUUCGUAUUGACGUUGUGCUUAGACUAUAAUUCACCUUUAUUUACAUCCAUGGAUUAGUUGUUGUAUUGGUCAGUUUGCUCAUAUCCUCUUUCUUUUUGUUUUGUUUUGGAUUUUUGGACUUUGGUUGCUUUAGAUCUGUGAGCUGCUACUUGUAUUUUAAAUUGAUCACAAACCGCUUACUGCAAUGCAGGCCAUACUAUUGAUUCACAUACCAGCUAAAUUUAGGACCAUCCCGAUUGAAGGCUCUUCCCACUUAAGUGAUUCUUCCUUCUGAAUCCAUUUUUUAGCUUAUUCAUUCGGAUUAUGACCCAUAAUUAUGUUUUUUUGUUUGCUUGAAUUCGGUCAAACAAACUGAGAAAAGCGUGGAUCCUCUGAAGAAUGUCUGAAAAAAAUGAUAGACAAGUCCCUAGAUUUACCCCAAUUUCACUUGCUCUAUAGAUUUAUAGUUCUAUAAUAUGUGCUUCCUUAUCAAUCUUUGUUACUCAAUUAUGCUAGAUAAUCACUUGUCCUUAAUCUAAUUAACAGUGUUGUCAUCAUAGAUGAAGCUGACAACUUAGUUGAUUCCUUGAAUAAGAUAUACAAGUCAAAGCUUACAUCUUCUUAGGUUACUCUCACCUUUCAUUAACCUUUCCAUCACAGUCUGGCAAAUAGUAUUUUGCCUUGUGCCAUAGGUCAUUAUACUUAGUUGCAAUUGUAUUGCUUUGUGUUUCAUUCAAUGAACAUAAACAUCUACAUUCCAUGUUGUCCAUUAGUUAUGAUUUUUGCUGGAACAUAAAUGGCAUAUAGCUCUGUAUUUUGUGUGCCUGAUGCUCAUUCAGUACUAUUGUCAAAGCACAAAAGGGAGAUUUAGGAAUUUAUUUGGCUUAUAAAGGGGCAUAAACAAAGAGGGUCUUUUAGUGGUGGAGUUAGCUUAGCUUGCCUAUGGGGUUGUAUGGCACAUUAUAAGAGAUUCUAUAUAUGGUUUCAUCUGGUUUAGGUUUAGAAUUUUCAUUUUGAAAGCAACAUUCAGUCCAUACAUGACUUGAGCAUGCUUUCUAAAUUGACAUUUUUGGUGUUUACUUGGGCUAAAAACUAGGAUUCUUGCAUUUUUCUGCCAUGUGCUGUUUACAGGUGAAAUUGUGUUGUUCAGAAACAAACUUUGGCAUCCGUUUCUCAUUCUCCUAACUGCAUUUACAUGUAUUCAUUUUCCUUUUGGAUUGUAGCUGAAAGCAGUCCUUUCCCACCUAGAUGAAUACCUUAAUAGAUUUUACAAUGUUUUGGGAGCUAGGAAUUGAUGAUACAUCCAGACCUUGGUAGUUUUAACAAGGUCUUCCACACAUGUUCUGAUCAACAAUCAAGAUGGUAGCACUGUGUCUUCUAUGACCACAAACCAAUUCUUGUUUUCCCUUGACAUCGAUAACAUAAACAUAGUUGAAUUUUGUCACUUUGUGAAAGACAUCAAUAUAAUCCACAAGGUAAAUUUCUUAAUCUAUAACCACUGUUUGAAAUUGGUAGUCUACAAUCUAUUUGAUGCUUUAAGUGAACUUUAGAAGUUUAUAUCAUUUCCAAGAAAAGUUUACAUUACCUUUUCCAAUUAAUGUUGACUCAACAUAUAUAAGUAACUACCAAAAUUUAUUUGGAAUAGAAAUUGAAUAUUAACAAACAAAAAAUAUCUUGUACUUAAAAUUUGUAUACUAAUAUAACAGAACUGCGACAAACUCAAUGAUGGGCACAAAAGAGCUUUGCACAAUCUCAUUCCAGGAUCAACGACUCAUAGAUGUUUUUAUCAACACUGCACACAUUGUUUGCUGAAAUUAGCUCAUGUUAUUGAUGGUGUUUGAAAGAAACAUUAAAGUUUUGCUUCGACAAAUGUCUUUUGCUCAGGGCAUCUGGCUUGGUGUUUCUUGUUUGGUGAUACCUGUACAAGCAAAUUUGGUGACCUGCUACUUAAAAAGUCCGUGUUUGGUUUACUUGCUUGUUGGCACCAUUGCAAAAUUGCAUGUUCCUUGUUUGGUUGUAUGAAAACUGACUAUAUUAUGACUUGUUGUAUGCAUUAUUGGUGUAUUAUGCAGCUGUUUCUGCAAAGAGGUCGUCUUGACUGAUCGCAAUGAUGAAGUUCUGGAGGCAAGGUUCAGUUGUUUAGGAAUUCAUUCACUGAUACAUCUUAUUAUUCAGUUGAAGCGCCACAUAUAUUGGUAGAUAAAUGCUACUGAUACAUUCAAGUGAUGAACCAGUCCAUUCAUGAGCUAAUAAGUGCAGUAAUCAGUACACCGCAGAGAGCAUAAACAUACCCAACUAUUAUGGUGGUGGUGGCUAUAUUAUAUGUUAUAUAACAUGCUGCAUAACUGUUAAGAUCAUGAACAUUUUAGAUGUUGAAUACCUUGCUUGCAAGGAGUGUCACGAAUACCGAAACUUGUUCUCGCACAUGCUGAAUCGUAUCACAUUCCUAUUCCUCUGUCUAUUUCAGCCCUUCUAUUUUUGGUUUCUGGCAGUGUUGUUGUUAUGAUGAAGGCAGACCCAAGUAUUGAAAGGGAUGAUCUGAUUUUGCUCUAGGAGAUUGCCAUGUACAUGCUUCUUGCAUGUGGAGCUGUCUAUGUGAUCUUGAUAAGAAAGAUUUGUGGAUGUUGACCCAACAGGUAUGCCAUCCCUUCUCUUCAGAUAAUUAUAGGUGUACAUUUAUGCCUACUAUGUUUGAUCCCAUUCAAAGAUUAUUGGCCUUUACUGAAUCUGUGCCUAUAGUUAGGUGUGUUUUGAUCUUCUUUGAUGGGUAUUGAAGAAACUAUUAUUCCCUAAAGUUUUCUAAUAAUAGUUGCUUUGCAGGAAAUUGCUACUGAGGUGCAAAGUGAAUCCAAGUGAAAGUAAUUAGGGGAGUUAGCUAUGUCAAAUGGAAAGGUAUAGCUACCGGGUCUAUCAUUUAUCUUGCAUGUGCAAUGCCAUAGUUUGCGUUGUCAUAUGUUGAUGUCCAGUUUUUUUAUAAAAGAUGUUUGUUUUCAAUGAACUAACAAGUAUAGUUCCAAUGUUCCAUUAUUAUUUGCAAAUUUGUUUUCGUUAGUUAUUACAUGAUACUGUAAAUUUUCAUUUAUAUGGACCUCAUGUUUAUUGUAUCAACCCGCUUUUACAUUUUGUGGGUCAUUGUGUCAAGGAGCAGAAUUUUUUGGGGAGGGAAAAAGCUGCGCUAGCAGUGUCUGGCUGGUUUUUCAUACUCUGCCGAUCAAUUGAUCUCUAUUUUUUUAUUAGUUAGCCAUGGAAAGCCUUAAUCCAAUCGACUACUCUAAACUUAAAUUUAUGUCCUUUUCUAGCCCGUGGAUAUUCCAUCUGUGCCCUGUAAAUUGAUAGUAUUGUCUGCCGGUGAGCUUAGAUGCUUCCCUCGCCCCUUGUUUGGUUCUUCUUUAGUUAGAAAGCUUGCAUAUCGGUUAAAAAUAAGAUGAAGAAUCGCAGAUAGUGUAGCUUUUGGCCGUUUGUGAUUCAUAUCCGAACCUUAACUCAGUCAGCGGUAUCACUGUGGACUGUUCCCAAAUUUAGUGUGGCAGUGGACACAUUUAGUGGUAACUGCUAAUUCUGGUAAUAUAUGAGUUCAUAAGCCAAUGGUGUAGUUCGAACGGGUUAGCCUAAUGAGGUAACAUAAUUAUUCUAAAGAAAUGUAUAGCCUCAGUAGCCUAAUUAGGUUAUUACUAAUGAUCUUCUUUACCGAUCUUCUAUUCUUGAUAUUUUUGUUCAAUCCAACAAGUGGCGUGUUUACAUGCAGAGAGUGGUUGCUAAAGGAUAGGAAGCUGAAGCUGGAUGAAGGAAGCAACUACAUGCAACCGAUGGCAAUAAUGCAUUGCAGGUACUGGGAAUUCACUUGAAAUAUUAAGGUCUUUUACAUUCUUCUUUUUUUUGCUGGUGCCAUAGUCGUAAUAGUGUUGGGCAUUCGAAAUAUUGCUGCGAGAUUAUUUAAUUGUCAAUGUACCACAUGAUAGGGUUGAGGCUCGUUAGAAAUGUCAAGUUGGUCCCGGACGUGGGUAUGGUGCCCGCAAGGCCGACAGAGCUGAGAUCAAGCACUGAGAUCGUGCCCUCGUGCCUACGGCUGCAUGUCACACCUGGCCAGAGGCAUAGGCUACCACUACUGUUCUAAGAGGACAACCUGCUCGAUAGCUAGCCUAGGAUGGCCUUCAGUUCCAGCAAGGCUUGUCGGCUCGUCUCACUGCAGAACGCUAUUGUUGGCGCCUAAUUGAACGAAGUUGAUACCGGUAGGAUCCCAUGAAGCAACAUAAGCAGCAGAAGUCUGACGAGGAAUGACAUAGAUGCAGUGCUUUCGUUUGUUGCUACUGAAAAAAGAUCUGAACCAAGUAUUUCU
rnacentral:lncRNA from 1 species